CGAAGAUGUCAAGCUCUUGAAUGAUGUCCUAAUCGAAAAGAAUAAGGAAACUGGAUGGGACACUCCAAUUCAUGUGGAUGCAGCCAGUGGUGGAUUCGCGCCAUUUCUUUAUCUAGAGCUUAAGUGGGACUUCCGGUUGCCACUAGUGAAGAGCAUCAACGUUAGUGGACAUAAUCACAUAAAUAUGAUCUAGUCUAUGCAGGAAUUGGUUGGGUCAUCUAGAGAAGCAAGGAAGACCUUCAUGAGGAACUCAUCUUCCACAUUAACUAUCUCUGAGCAGAUCAACCCACCUUCACCCUCAACUUCUCCAAAGAUGGCAGAACAGAAGAGGAGGAAGUCCAAUUUGCAGCUACAAAUGAUGAUGAAGUGAUGAGGUUGAGCGCAGAAAUUGUGAGACUUAGUGAAGAGAACACUCGC